rnacentral:pre_miRNA from 1 species
ACAACAAGGCUCGUAGGUUUACCGCGCAAUAUCACCCGCUCGGUGGAAGAUCUUCCAUUUGUUGU